rnacentral:rRNA from 1 species
GACGAACGCUGGCGGCGUGCCUAAUACAUGCAAGUCGAGCGAACCAAUAGGAGCUUGCUCCUAUUGGUUAGCGGCGGACGGGUGAGUAACACGUGGGCAACCUGCCUGUAAGACUGGGAUAACACAGGGAAACCGGUGCUAAUACCGGAUAAUCCUUUCCCUCUCAUGAGGGGAAGUUGAAAGUCGGUUUCGGCUGACACUUACAGAUGGGCCCGCGGCGCAUUCGCUAGUUGGUGAGGUAACGGCGUACCAAGGCGACGAUGCGGAGCCGACAUGAGAGGGGAAUCGGCCACACUGGGACUGAGACACCGCCCAGACUCCUACGGGGGGCAGCAGUAGGGAAUCUUCCACAAUGCACGAAAGACUAAUGGAGCAACGCCGCGUGAGCGAUGAAGGCCUUCGGGUCGUAAAGCUCUGUUGUUAGGAAAGAACAAGUAUCGGAGUAACUGCCGGUACCUUGACGGUACCUAACCAGAAAGCCACGGCUAACUACGUGCCAGCAGCCGCAGUAACAC